AGUUUGAUCCUGGCUCAGAUUGAACGCUGGCGGCAUGCUUUACACAUGCAAGUCGAACGCGAAAGGGGGGCAACCCCUGAGUAGAGUGGCGCACGGGUGAGUAAUGCAUCGGAACGUGUCCUGUAGCGGGGGAUAACCUAGCGAAAGCUAGGCUAAUACCGCAUACGCCCUAAGGGGGAAAGUGGGGGAUCGUAAGACCUCACACUAUAGGAGCGGCCGAUGCCGGAUUAGCUAGUUGGUGGGGUAAAGGCUCACCAAGGCGACGAUCCGUAGCUGGUCUGAGAGGAUGAUCAGCCACACUGGGACUGAGACACGGCCCAGACUCCUACGGGAGGCAGCAGUGGGGAAUUUUGGACAAUGGGGGAAACCCUGAUCCAGCCAUGCCGCGUGAGUGAAGAAGGCC
rnacentral:rRNA from 1 species